rnacentral:rRNA from 1 species
AGUGAACGCUGGCGGUAGGCCUAACACAUGCAAGUCGAACGGCAGCACAGUAAGAGCUUGCUCUUACGGGUGGCGAGUGGCGGACGGGUGAGGAAUACAUCGGAAUCUACUUUUUCGUGGGGGAUAACGUAGGGAAACUUACGCUACUACCGCAUACGACCUACGGGUGAAAGCAGGGGAUCUUCGGACCUUGCGCGAUUGAAUGAGCCGAUGUCGGAUUAGCUAGUUGGCGGGGUAAAGGCCCACCAAGGCGACGAUCCGUAGCUGGUCUGAGAGGAUGAUCAGCAACACUGGAACUGAGACACGGUCCAGACUCCUACGGGAGGCAGCAGUGGGGAAUAUUGGACAAUGGGCGCAAGCCUGAUCCAGCCAUACCGCGUGGGUGAAGAAGGCCUUCGGGUUGUAAAGCCCUUUUGUUGGGAAAGAAAAGCAGCAGGUUAAUACCCCGCUGUUCUGACGGUACCCAAAGAAUAAGCACCGGCUAACUUCGUG